UCGAUUUGGAGUUUGUUGCCUUGAGUGAUGGGCUCCGAAGCUAACGCGAUAAAUCGACCGCCUGGGGAGUACGGCCGCAAGGUUAAAACUCAAAUGAAUUGACGGGGGCCCGCACAAGCGGUGGAGCAUGUGGUUUAAUUCGAUGCAACGCGAAGAACCUUACCUGGUCUUGACAUCCACAGAAUCUUGCAGAGAUGCGAGAGUGCCUUCGGGAACUGUGAGACAGGUGCUGCAUGGCUGUCGUCAGCUCGUGUUGUGAAAUGUUGGGUUAAGUCCCGCAACGAGCGCAACCCUUAUCCUUUGUUGCCAGCGAUUUGGUCGGGAACUCAAAGGAGACUGCCGUUGAUAAAGCGGAGGAAGGUGGGGACGACGUCAAGUCAUCAUGGCCCUUACGACCAGGGCUACACACGUGCUACAAUGGCGUAUACAAAGGGAGGCGACCUCGCGAGAGCAAGCGGACCUCAUAAAGUACGUCUAAGUCCGGAUUGGAGUCUGCAACUCGACUCCAUGAAGUCGGAAUCGCUAGUAAUCGUGAAUCAGAAUGUCACGGUGAAUACGUUCCCGGGCCU
rnacentral:rRNA from 1 species